rnacentral:lncRNA from 1 species
CACAUAAUAAGCUUUCUAACACUACUAGAAAGAGUUACUCACGUUUUGGUAUAAAAACCCGAAGAUCCGUGAGAGAGAAAAUGGCUUUUCUCUAGUUGGAAAUGUGAAUAAUGAAUGAAUUUGGUUCAGAAUUCUAUUUAUAGUCCUGAGAUAUUUUUGGCAGAAAAUAUUUUUAUUCCUGAAAUGAUCUCUAAUAUAAUAGAGUGUUGGAAUAACAGUGUUGCACAAAACCCUAGUGCACCCACUCUCCUGAUAUUUCCUGAAGUGUAAACCCUGAAUUACUCAAACUUACACGAAAAAGUCUGAAAAUUAACUGUGACUGCUAUAACUUCUAUUGAAGUGAUAUAGUUUGUACAGAAUGGAAAUUUCGGGUUGUCACAUCAUCCCCCCGUUAGAAGGAAUUUCGUCCCGAAAUUAGAAUUUAAGCAAAUAAGAAGUUACAAAUAACUAAGCGAAAAGGUGAGGGUAUUUCAGUUUCAUCUGAUCCUCACGUUCCCAAGUGAAUUCCGGUCCACGCUUUGCGUUCCAGCGCACCUUCACUAUCGGGAUACGGCUCUGCUUUGUUUGCUUGACCUCUCGGUCCAUGAUCUCUACUGGUUCCUCCACGAAGUUGAGGCUCUCGUUGAUCUCGAUCUCGUCGAGUGGAAUAACAAGAGUCUCGUCGGAUAGGCACUUUUUCAAGUUUGACACGUGGAAGGUAGGAUGUACGUUACUGAGUUCUUUCGGUAGAUUGAGCUUGUAAGCCACAGGGCCGAUUCUCGCGAGAAUCUCGAAAGGCCCUAUGUAUCUUGGAUUGAGCUUCCCACGCUUUCCAAAGCGUAUCAAGCCCUUCCAGGGUGAGACCUUCAGUAGGACUCGGUCGCCCACCUGGAACUCCAAUGGUUUCCUACGCUUGUCGGCGUAGCUUUUCUGUCGGUCUCUAGAGGCUUUUAAUCGUUCACGAAUUUGAACGAUCUUCUCUGUCGUUUCCCGAAUGAUCUCCGGACCCGUGAGAGUGCUUUCGGGAACUCGUCCCUUAGCUAACUGGGUAUCACCCACUUCAGCCCAGCACAGAGGGGAUCUGCACUUUCGGCCAUAGAGGGCCUCGAAUGGAGCUGCCUUUAUGCUCGUAUGAUAACUGUUGUUGUAGGAAAAUUCAACAAGGGGUAAAUGGGUAUCCCAAGCUUUUCCAAAGUCAAUCACACAGGCACGCAACAUAUCUUCUAAGGUUUGGAUAGUUCUCUCACUUUGCCCGUCGGUCUGUGGAUGAUAGGCUGUACUCAUGUCCAGCCUAGUUCCUAGGGAACUUUGUAAUGACUGCCAGAACCUCGAAGUGAAUCUACUAUCUCGGUCUGAGAUGAUAGAUAAAGGAACACCGUGCAGUCUUACAAUCUCCCUAAUGUAAGUUCUGGUAAGUUUCUCCAUCUUGUCUGUUUCCUUGAUCGGUAGGAAGUGUGCAGACUUGGUCAGUCUAUCGACGAUGACCCAUAUGGAAUCAAGUCCACCCGUCGUCUUGGGCAACUUGGUUAUGAAGUCCAUAGUGAUCCGCUCCCACUUCCAUUCUGGUAUCUCCGGUUGUUGUAGAAGACCGGAGGGUUUCUGGUAUUCGACCUUGACCUUUGCGCAAGUAAGGCAUUUACUCACGAAGGUAGCAAUAUCUGCUUUCAUGUUAGGCCACCAGUAUAACUUUUUAAGAUCCAGAUACAUCUUAUCUGAACCCGGGUGGACGGAAUAACGAGUGUUGUGAGCUUCGGUCAUGACCAAGUCUCUGAAGCCACCGUGUUUCGGUGUCCAGAUCCGAUCCAUGAGGUAUAAGGCUCCGCCACCCUUGACUUCCAAGUUCUUAUCCAUCCCUCUAAGGGAUUCACCCGCCACGUUUUCAGGUUUCAAAGCGUCGAGCUGAGCCUCCUUUAUUUGCGUGGACAAGUGUGAAUGGAUAGUUAGAGUCAAAGAUUUGACUCUACGACCAGUAUAUUCUUUCCGACUUAGGGCGUCGGCUACUACAUUGGCUUUACCCGGAUGAUAACGAAUUUCGCAUUCGUAAUCACUAAGUAGCUCGACCCACCGUCGUUGUCUCAUGUUGAGCUCUUUCUGGUCGAAAAUGUGUUGUAGACUCUUAUGGUCUGUAAAGAUCGUGCUUUUUGUACCGUAUAGGUAAUGUCGCCAGAUCUUCAGAGCAAACACAACUGCUCCUAGUUCAAGAUCGUGGGUUGUGUAGUUAACCUCAUGUGUCUUCAGCUGUCUCGAGGCAUAGGCUAUGACUUUACCUCGCUGCAUCAGAACACAUCCGAGUCCUUGAUUGGAUGCAUCGCAAUAGACAAUGAAGUCUUCUAUUCCUUCGGGAAGGGAUAGUAUCGGGGCGGUGCACAAGGCUCGUUUGAGCGUUUGGAACGCUCUUUCCUGUUUCUCUUCCCAGUCGAAGGCCACGCCUUUCUGGGUCAGGGUUGUAAGAGGUUUCGCUAUGCUGGAGAAGUUCUGAAUGAACCUGCGAUAGUAGCCAGCUAGACCUAGAAAUUGACGAAUUUCAGUAGGUGUCUUUGGUGCUGACCAGUUCUCGAUGGCCUUAAUUUUGGAAGGGUCCACGUGUAUACCUUCUUCGCUAACCACAUGGCCCAAGAAUUCGACUCGCCGAAUCCAAAAUUCGCACUUUGAGAACUUCGCGUAGAGCUUCUCCGAUCGCAAUGUUUCUAAGAUUUUACGGAGAUGUUGACUAUGCUCCUCCUUACUUCGAGAGUAGAUGAGUAUGUCAUCAAUGAAGACGAUGACGAACUGAUCCAAGUAAGGACGACACACCCUAUUCAUCAGAUCCAUGAAUACUGCGGGCGCGUUAGUUAAUCCGAAUGGCAUCACUACAAACUCGUAGUGCCCGUAACGAGUUCGGAAGGCUGUCUUGGGAACAUCCUCCUCUAACACUCGUAGUUGGUGAUAUCCGGAUCGCAGAUCUAUCUUCGAGAAGUAGUUGGCUCCUUGAAGUUGAUCAAAUAAAUCGUCAAUGCGGGGCAAGGGAUAACGAUUUUUAAUGGUAAGUUUGUUGAGUUCUCUAUAGUCGAUGCACAUGCGAAACGAUCCAUCUUUCUUCUUGACGAACAAGACCGGUGCUCCCCAUGGUGAGAAGCUUGGUCGAAUGAAUCCCUUCUUGAGAAGUUCGUUAAGUUGACUGGAAAGUUCCUGCAUUUCAGCCGGUGCCAGACGAUAAGGAGAUUUGGCUACGGGGGUAGCCCCUGGCACUAAGUCGAUUCUGAACUCGACUUGGCGUUGUGGUGGUAAACCGGGAAGUUCUUCUGGGAAUAUGUCGGGAAAGUCGCGUACUUCUGGGAUUUUCUGGAUGUCUUUCAGUUCUUGACUGGUAUCGACGACGUGUGCGAGAAAUGCAUGGUACUCCUUCCGCAAGCACUUCUGGGCUUGAAUGCACGAAAUGAUGCGAAGGCUCGUACUAGGUUUGUCGCCGUAGAUAAUUAAAGUUUCGUUGUUAGGAAGGUUAAGACGAACUGCUUUUUCGAAGCACAUAAUGUCGGCACGAAGAAGACUCAACCAAUCCAUACCGAUGAUAACGUCGAAACAUUUAAUUGUGACUGGCAUGAGAUCUAUCUUGAAAGUAUGGCCAUCUAAAGUUAAGGUACAACCUACGUAUAUGCAGUUUGUACUCUCUGUUUUCCCGUUAGCCAUUUCUACCGUGAAUGAACUAUCUAAUGCACAUGGUUUUUGUUUAAGCAGGUGUGCAAAUUUGUGACUUACAAAACUUUUCUCGGCUCCACUAUCGAAAAGUAUGCAAGCAUAUGAGUUAUCGAGGAGGAACGUACCAGUAACUAUCGUAGGAUCAGCUACUGCUUCCUCGUGGCCUAGGGCCAUAACUCUUCCUACUCCUCCAGCCAUCCCUGCUUUAGGGCAGUUCCUCUUGUAGUGGCCCACUUCGCCACAACCGUAGCAAGCUUGGCCCAUACCGGCGUUAGGAACCUGGGUAGCUUGAGCUGUUGGAGUCUUGCAGAAACGGACGGUGUGUCCCUUCCUGUUGCAGUUAGAGCACUGCAUCUCCCUGCAAGGUCCGUGGUGGUGGAAGUUGCACUUGGUGCACUUCGGGAGAGUCCCAGCAUAUGUUUUUGCUGGUAAGAGGUUCGCAGGGGCAACAGGAGUCACUGUGGCAGCAUUGAUCGCCACAAGUUGUUGCUUAUUGGAGGAUCCUUGCGGAGCCCCUCAUUUCCUCUUAUUCCACCCCUUCUUGUGGUAGUCGGGGUUGGACUUUUGUGGUACAGGUGUAGGGAUUGUUGUGUUCUGAGGUUUCCGGUGAUCGAUGAGAGAUUGUGCUAGUUCCUUGGCGCUAUCAAAGGUAAUAGGCCUGGAAGCGAUCACACUUGACUGGAUCUGGGGCGACAGUCCCCAGAUAUAUCUCUCGAUCUUUUUGCUCUGGAGAGCAACCAUAUCAGGGCAUAAGUUUGCCAAAUCACAGAACCUAUUUGUGUAGGUAGUGAUGUCGGAUCCAACCAUUUGUAGACCCCAGAAUUCUUGCUCGAGUUUUUGUAUUUCACCUCGAGGACAGUAUUCUUUCAUCAGCAUGUCCUUCAACUUUUCCCAGCUGAUGGAAUACGCCACCACCAAAGUCAGAUAGUUAACAUGGCUGUUCCACCAUGUUAGUGCUCUGUCAGAGAAGGUACAAGCUGCAAACUUGACCUUGUUGCCCUCCUGGCAAGCACAGAUUUCAAAGACAGAUUCCAUCUUUUCAAUCCAUUGUCUCAACACCAUAACACCCCCAGUUCCAUUGAAGCUGCGGGGUUUGGCGUUAGUGAAGUCCUUGUAGGUGCAUUCCCGAGGGUGUCCAUGGCUUUCGCCGUGGUUCGAGGGUGGUGCACCUGUUCCUGAUCCACUAGGGGCAGGAGCGUUGAUUGCUGACACAGCAGCUGCAACUGCUGCUGUGAAAGCUGCCUGGAACAUGUUGGCAUCGAAAGGAUUUGGUGGUUGAAGAGGUACAGGUGGUGGUGGAGGUGGUGGUAUUGGUGCUUCGUUGUUUGGGUUCCGCCUUGGAUUCCUGCGUGGCGGCAUCUUUAACUAUACGUUUAAAAGAUGACGACAUGGAUAAGAAUAAAUGAUUAAUGAAUGUGUCUCAUGGACUAAAUCCCCAUAGCCCAACAACAGAAGGAAUAGUAUGACUAAAUGAAGAAGAUAGCAUUUGGAUAAUAAUUUCCAUAAGAUUAGAUAUCUGUCAAUAAUACUGGAAUUACAGAUGUAACAAGUUCGGGAAAAAUGGCCUAGAAGUAGGCCUUACAUCAACCAAGAUGGAAAAUUUUGACAGAAUUAAGACUAGAUCAAGACCUAACAGGUCUAAGAUUUAUACAGAUAGGAAAUUAGACCAAAGUUUUACAUAAACUAGGUUAUAUCCAAAAGAUGAGUCGACGAGAUUCUAUCGGCGACGAGAACUGCUAGCAUGAGUCCUCGAUCCCGACAGUAGACGUUCAAUGUCCCUUAUACGCCUGUCCGACCUUGCUUGCUGAGCUCGAAGUUCUCUAACUUCAGCUUGGGUUUCAGCAAGUUCCCUCUGCAGAUUUGCAUUGCGGACCAGAGUCCUUUCAUGAGCAGACUCUAGUUGGCGAAUGUGGACAGUGUUAACACCAGAGUUGGCGUCAACUUCCAAAACUUGAUUGAUAGUCGCCUGAGCUAUUAUCGAGUUCCGAGAAAUCCUACGCACCAUGAUUGGUAGGACUCUAUCAGCAGAACCUCCUUCAGUGAGGUUGUAGAAACUUCGGUCUCCAUUGUAGGGAAUGGGCUGACCCUGUUCAUGACUCCAUGUAAUCAAGUUAAUGGCCCACAGAGGUGUGGGUCCUUGAAACACAGGACGGGGGUUCAGGUUUGGGUUUUGAGCAGCUGGGGGUAGGUUGUUGACUUCAGGCUCUGAGUCAGAACUAUCGGAAAAACCCUCAGCAUGGUGAUCAUCCAAAGGGAUUGGGUGAUCAUCUUCUGGUUCUGCCUCUAGCCAACCAGCAUUGCCUUGGUUUGGGAAGUACGGAUCGCCAUGGUGAAAUCCAGCCAUUUUAAUCUACGCGAGAAAAGGGAUAUAAGAAAUAGCUAAAAUAGACGAACUAACUAAGAUAAUUACAGUAAGACCAAAUACCCAUAUGGUAUUUCUUUAUGGUUGUGUUGGUAAGUUUUUAGACUUGUUGCCAUAUCACAACCAUUCUUGGGCAUAUUCUAAUCACUCCUCGGACCAGCAUAGUUGAUCAGGCUAUGCCAUUCCCAAGACUGACCAUAUAUCCCCAGGCUUACUUGUGAUAUUCAACAAUCGUAAUACUUUUGUUCUUGUCGUUGUGACACUGAUUUUAGUAUGAAUGCAGGCACGUAUACUUACUUAAAUAUUUUAUUAUUUAAAAGUAUAACUCUGAGACAGAGUGUUUUAAUCCCAUGUAUUUAUAGUUAGUAUAUCUUUUAUGGGUUGAUAUACUUAAUUCACUAUAAACAAUGCUCUGAUACCAAUCUGUCACACCCCAAAACCACGAACGGCGGAAACGUUCAGGGGUGGAGGACGUCAUGUACAGUAUCACAACAGUGUAAUAUAAUAAACAAGCAACAACAUCAUCCAUUGCAUUAUAAGUAAAGUUUAAUACAUGUGUGUUCUUUCAUUGUAAUAAGACACCAAAAAUAUACAAUCAAAAUAAAAGACGAGACUUGUCUGCUCCGUCUUCUCAAAACCUGGCCUCCGUACCUGUCUACUGAUGACCUGAGAAUACAAGUUAUUUUGAAAGCGAGUAUCAGCUUUAAAGCUGGUGAAUUCAUAAGUAUAUAAGUGUCAUUGCCUUGUUUGUGAAAAUCUGUUAUGAAGGCCAUGUAAACCUUUAAAUGAAAAUGUUGAGGUAAGUAUGAAAUCCCUAGAAAAACCCUUAUUUUCUAUAAGUAUGAAAUGUAGUCUUCUACCAAGACCCGAAUGUUCUGUACGUAUGAAGUGUAGUCUUCUACCAAGACCCGAAUGUUUUGUAAGUAUGAAGUGUAGUCUUCUACCAAGACCCGAAUGUUCUGUUUGUAAAAUGAUAGUUUUUCCUUUGUAUUGACUAGUACUAAAAGUGCUUAGUCUAACUCAUCGUUUAUGUGAAUGUAUCACAAAAUAAAGUAAACAGGAAAAUGUACUACUGUAAGUGUUGUCACUGGGUACUAGGACCAACACAACAUCGCAUUAAGCGAAAUGUAUAACCUAAUGAACAUCCGAAGAUUGUCCAAUUGUCCUCUGUAGCAGCAGCAGGUGGGUGGAAGGGUUAGUCCCAAAUCGAUCUACCUAAUAUAAGUAGUAACCUUAGACCUCCGUAGAUGGUCAUCGACCACUGGUGCUAAUCAGUGGGGUUCGGAAUGGUAAGUCCCGCCGAGCUAUCCCAUUGAACCGGGAUAGGAAAGAUAAUUUACACAGUAAGUACUAAUAAAUCAUCCUCGUAGUCCUAAGUACAAGUAUCCAGGUAAGUGAAUACAGGAUAAUGCACCUAUGUAAAAGUGUUCCUGUAUGGUAUUCAUGUAUGUGUGUCCAUGUAACAGGUAAGUAUAUGUAAACAUAUUCAUGUAUCAGGUAAACAUCUGUAAGUACUCAUGUAUCAGGUAAUGUACUAGUAUAGACUCAUGAAUGAACUGACUCUUGUGUGAUUCCUUGUAAUAGAAGUAAUGUUUGAUAUCUUCAAAUUAUCCCUAUGAUAAUUUACUGUAAUAUAACUGGUUGAUCAUGUAGGUUUAUACACUCUUACUACUCAAGGGUGUGGGAAACUAAAUGAAAGAUGUAAACUAUAACAUCAAUACAUAUAUAAGAAUAUAAGUGUAUAUGCAUAGUUUAGUUCAAGAAUGUAAAAUGGUUUUGUAAGACAUCUUAUUGGUUUUGAACAAUAAUUAACAAUGACUUGAUGUCAUUUUAAUAUACAUUUCAAAGGUAAAACAUUUGAUAACAAUGUGUUUUUAAGAUUUAAAACCAUUUCAUGCAUCACAUUUUGUAGUAUGUGAAAUCUGUUAAAUGACAAACAUAGUUAUAAAAUACAUAACAAUGAUUUAAUAACAUGUUUGUUUCUACUUGUAUUCCCCCCUUUAAAGCAUUUAAAAUCAUUUAAAACAUUGAUUAGGGGUAUGAACUCACCUGUAGUUGGUGAUUGGGAUGAACUGAACGGUAUAGGAUGGCUAGGUGUCAAGCGAGGACUUGUACACACACUACGAUCCUAAUGAACAUAUAAUCACACAUAUAUGCAUUCAAUUAGUCUUAAAUCACUAAUUGAUAAUGUUAAGACAUCCUAGACAUAAUAAACACUUUAUAUAAGUGUUUUAAGCCCUAAGGAUUGCAUCUAAGCUAUUGUGGGACAAGGUACUUGUGUUUAGGGUUCCAAAGGACCCUAUAUGUGAGUUUACUCCCCAUAUACCAUCACACAUGGAGUUUACGGUUGUAAACUCUUGAGUUUACGGCCGUAAACUCCCAACCAUGGGGGUUUGGUGUGUUUUGAAGUCCCUAAUGAUUCCUAGAAUUAUUCCAACUUGGUGGCUAAGUCCUUGGAAGGGUUUAAGGUCUAGAAACACUCCAUUUAGGAGUUUACGGCCCUAAGGCCAUUCCCCUUAGAGUUUACGGCCGUAAACUCUAAGUAUGGUGUGUUUUUGAUGCUUUCAAGUCUCUUGCACUUGUGGUAUAGGUUCUAGACUUUUAUUCCAAGCAUAUGAAGACCAUUGACACACUUUGGUGCCCCUUUAAUGAGUUUACGGCCCAUGAACCAUGUCAUGGCCGUAAACUCACUUUGAAAUGUGAUUUUGAUGUGCUUUGGUCCUUAGAUUAAGUGGGGAACAAUUCCAUGUAAAGGUCUAGGGCUUUAGGUGUCUUAAUAACACCCUUUGGUCCAUUUCUAUGGAGUUUACGGCCUAAGAUACACUUGGGCCGUAAACUCUCAUUUGUUUGUGUUCUUUGAUGUGCUUAAGGCCUUAGAUUAAAUGGGAACUAGUCUUGAUAAAAGUCUUAAAGCUUUAGUGGCCUUAAAACAUCAUUUUGAGUUUGAAAAGGGAGUUUACGGCCUAAGCAACUCUUGGGCCGUGAACUCCCAAACUUGGGUGAUUUAUGGUUGUUUUCUUGUCCCUAACACACAUACAUAUGAGUCUAAGGCAGUUGUAUAACACAAGGGUCGGUUUUGGCUUUGUUUCGGGAGUUUACCGCCCAAGAACACCUUGGGGAGUAAACUCCUAGAUCUAAUGAUUUAGCCAUCUAAAUCAUGUUAUAAGCACAUAAUAAGCAUUCUAACACUACUAGAAAGAGUUACUCAAGAUUUGGUAUAAAAACCCGAAGAUCCGUGAGAGAGAAAAUGGCUUUUCUCUAGUUGGAAAUGUGAAUAAUGAAUGAAUUUGGUUCAGAAAUCUAUUUAUAGUCCUGAAAUAUUUUUGGCAGAAAAUAUUUUUAUUCCUUAAAUGAUCUCUAAUAUAAUAGAGUGUUGGAAUAACAGUGUUGCACAAAACCCUAGUGUACCCACUCUCCUGAUAUUUCCUGCAGUGUAAACCCUGAAUUACUCAAACUUACGCAGAAAGUCUGAAAGUUAACUGUGACUGCUAUAACUUCUAUUGAAGUGAUAUAGUUUGUACAGAAUGGAAAUUUCGGGUUGUCACACAUACCGCAUGCCACAUAAUAUU